rnacentral:rRNA from 1 species
ACUUCGGUGGGGAUUAGUGGCGAACGGGUGAGUAACACGUGGGCAAUCUGCCCUGCACUCUGGGACAAGCCCUGGAAACGGGGUCUAAUACCGGAUACUGAUCAUCUUGGGCAUCCAAGGUGUUCGAAAGCUCCGGCGGUGCAGGAUGAGCCCGCGGCCUAUCAGCUUGUUGGUGAGGUAGUGGCUCACCAAGGCGACGACGGGUAGCCGGCCUGAGAGGGCGACCGGCCACACUGGGACUGAGACACGGCCCAGACUCCUACGGGAGGCAGCAGUGGGGAAUAUUGCACAAUGGGCGAAAGCCUGAUGCAGCGACGCCGCGUGAGGGAUGACGGCCUUCGGGUUGUAAACCUCUUUCAGCAGGGAAGAAGCGAAAGUGACGGUACCUGCAGAAGAAGCGCCGGCUAACUACGUGCCAGCAGCCGCGGUAAUACGUAGGGCGCGAGCGUUGUCCGGAAUUAUUGGGCGUAAAGAGCUCGUAGGCGGCUUGUCGCGUCGGUUGUGAAAGCCCGGGGCUUAACCCCGGGUCUGCAGUCGAUACGGGCAGGCUAGAGUUCGGUAGGGGAGAUCGGAAUUCCUGGUGUAGCGGUGAAAUGCGCAGAUAUCAGGAGGAACACCGGUGGCGAAGGCGGAUCUCUGGGCCGAUACUGACGCUGAGGAGCGAAAGCGUGGGGAGCGAACAGGAUUAGAUACCCUGGUAGUCCACGCCGUAAACGGUGGGCACUAGGUGUGGGCAACAUUCCACGUUGUCCGUGCCGCAGCUAACGCAUUAAGUGCCCCGCCUGGGGAGUACGGCCGCAA